GAGGCGGGACCGGCGUGAGGGGAGGGAAGAACAAUUCUGAGGAAAUAAGGGAUAAAGAGGCGGUUCCGCUGCUCGAGCGAGAGUUAGAACAGAGUGGAGUGCUGCUGGGGAGGUGCCUGACGCGCUGCAGCUCCCUGGUACCUGCAGAGCUGCAGACGUGCCUCCUCUGCUCUGGAACCACCACCUCCAAGAUGCAACUCAAGUUGCCAGAAAUUAAUAAAUGGCAUUAAAAGAAUGGACAGAAUUAAAACCAAGCAUGUAAUUUAGCACUGAUUCCCCUUGGGGGACAAGCCAGAGCACUCAAGCUCCACAGAUACCACAGGAAUGAUGGAAAAAGGAACACGGAUGUGUGGGAAGCUCAGUGGAGAGCAAACUGAACCGAAAAUACAGCUGGUAAAACUGAAUCUACAAGUGGAUCACCUUGGAAUCACCCAAGGCCAAAAGCCAAACUCAAUAUCCAACGUGGAUCUGGAGCUGGAAUCACUGUCUUCUUCAGUCUCAGGCAUUAAAUUCACUCCACAGGAUUUCCCAUCACACAGAGGACACUCAGACUUCCUCACAAAGAGGCAGAACUGUUUAUUAUUAACAAGACAGACCAUGAAGACCCCACUGUAUCAUCUACAGAUAUAAAACCUCGGGAGGAUGGAUGUUCCCAUGUAUCCAAAUUACAAACGAAAAAAAAAGCAUCAUAAUACGGACUCAGCCCAUGAUUCCGAGUCACUCUGCAGUCCUGGAGAUUCACAGACCCCAGAAGACCAGAUUAAGUUCAAAUUUUGGCUUAUGUAAGUUUUCCUGCUGCCACCUUCCAUCCCAACACCAACAUUCCUGAUUUUCCAUCAGAGCCUGCUCGGACACCCUUCAGCUGCCACAUUCCUCAGCUUAUCCCCAAAAUGCCCCAAAAGCUGCAGAGGUGUCUGCCAAAAACCUGCACACCUGGUUUAAGGCAGGAAGGAGUCCCAGUACCUGGAAGUCCCCAGUGGGGUUAUUCCCGUCGUGGAAUCCCUUGUAUCCCAUAUGGGAUCCCAGCAGUAUCCACAGGGAGCUUCUGGCCCAGUGACAUCCAGAACUCCACAGGACAGGAGUUGAAGAACAGGAAAACAACACCAAAGUGUUCAUUUGCUGAAGGGCAGGAUUUCACCCAGAAAGGAGUGUGGGGGUGGUUGGGAGGCUUUUUUUGUAAACCCACCCAUAUUCACAUCAAUUUUUGGAGUUCUAAUAUAAAAAAGCAAUAAAAAGGGCCUUUUUUUAUUUUUUUUUUUUUCAGUGAGUGCCACCUGUCACUUCAGGGUCACCAGAUUUGUUUCACUGGCCUGGGCCAUCACCACAAAGAGCUCUCGAUUUUGUUUUUAACAGCUCCACAACACGGCUCAGAAAUUCAAGCUUUGGAAAAACAGAACUUCCCCUUUAUUUAUAUUGCACCUGUUUCACAAAGAGCUACGUGGCAGAAGUUCCUUCUGCUGCAAAAAUGCUACAUCAGAAAAAUGUGGGUUUGGACACAGAGUAGAAAGGAAAGCUCUUGAUUUUCAGGAAUCAUCAGGAGUUGACCCCAAAUUACUGGUACUAUUUUUAUAAAUCACUCUACACCUACAAGUCCUAAGUAUUGCCUCAAUUUUAUUCAGCAUCCAGUUCUUUAAAAACCACCAGCAUUUUACCAGAUGAUAAAGAUGCUCUAACCACUACUGGGUACUAAAAUUGAAUCUGCAAGGGAAAUAUUUUGAAGAUCUCUUGAGAGAGCACCAAAUACUCUUUGGAACCACCAACAGAAAACCCACACAGAGGGACAGAUUUGGUUUGAUACCUCUAGAACUAUCCAUUGGGAAGAAUUUCCCAAUGUUGGGAUGUAUUUACAUGUUAAAAAUGCAUAAUGGAAAUCAAAACAUCUCAAAGGAUACCAGUCACCGGUGUCCUAACCCCGGUUACAGGAGCUUCAGACUCUGUAAGCACCCAGAGAGGCAUUACCCACACAGCAAAACAUCAACCCAGCUCCUCACAGGUGGCCAUUAUGGCAAGGAAUAAACCCAAACCAACCCUCCUGGCUUUAAUAGCAGGGUCAUUAUACAAGAUUGUCUGGAUUUGCCCUUUUUAUUCCAGUGUUUCCGUACUUUCUACACACCUAUGUACAGAGUUAAAUACGUCAUUCAUUUACAAGCCACGGUAAAACAAACGUCCCACUUUGCCAAACAAAAUCCCACAGAGGUCCAAGAUUUAAAAUAUAUAUUACAACAGCAUCAGAAACUUCCUUUCCCUGAAUGUGGACAAUAUUGCUUAAGGACUGGGAUUCAGGAUUCAGCAAAACCAUCUCCUGGAACGGCCUCGCUCGACCGUUUUAAUUACACCUUGUACAACACACAAUUAUCCCUGUUGACCACAGACCUGAACUGCAGGAGCAGGAGCACUGCCAGGAGUCUCCAGGGAAGGGAUUCACUCUCUGGGCCCUAAAUAGACAAUAUCCUCAUUUGGGUCAGCCCCCUUUUGCAAGCACAGGAGCUUUACUUCAGAGACACAGCGAGGCCACGAGCCCAGACUGGAAUUUGGGACAAGUAAUUUUCAACAGAAAGCCCUGCAACCUGCUGCCAGGCUGGAAAGAAAAACCUGAGCUAAAGACCUGCCAUGGUAAAUGUGCAGUGCAAGCUUUCUAUGAGAACUGUUGCAAAAAAGGUCUGGGUAUGUUCUUUAAAAGGAAACCACCUAAAUGUAUUUAAUAAAGGCUCUGAUCUGUGGGGAUUAGCUCCACGUUA